UACGAAGGGUGCAAACGUUGCUCGGAAUCAUUGGGCGUAAAGCGCACGUAGGCGGCCUUGCAAGUCGGAUGUGAAAUCCCACGGCUCAACCGUGGACGUGCAUCCGAAACUGCUCGGCUCGAGUAUGGAAGAGGGUCGCGGAAUUCCCGGUGUAGAGGUGAAAUGCGUAGAUAUCUGGAGGAACACCGGUGGCGAAGGCGGCAUCCUGGACCAUUACUGACACUGAAAAGCGAAAGCCAGGGGAGCAAACGGG
rnacentral:rRNA from 1 species